GACGAACGCUGGCGGCGUGCUUAACACAUGCAAGUCGAACGGAAAGGCCCUGCUUUUGUGGGGUGCUCGAGUGGCGAACGGGUGAGUAACACGUGAGUAACCUGCCCUUGACUUUGGGAUAACUUCAGGAAACUGGGGCUAAUACCGGAUAGGAGCUCCUGCUGCAUGGGGGGGGUUGGAAAGUUUCGGCGGUGGGGGAUGGACUCGCGGCUUAUCAGCUUGUUUGUGGGGUAGUGGAUUACCAAGGCUUUGACGGGUAGCCGGCCUGAGAGGGUGACCGGCCACAUUGGGACUGAGAUACGGCCCAGACUCCUACGGGAGCCAGCAGUGGGGAAUAUUGCACAAGGGGCGGAAGCCUGAUGCAGCAACGCCGCGUGCGGGAUGACGGCCUUCGGGUUGUAAACCGCUUUCGCCUGUGACGAAGCGUGAGUGACGGUAAUGGGUAAAGAAGCACCGGCUAACUACGUG
rnacentral:rRNA from 1 species